UUAAUGGAGAGUUUGAUCCUGGCUCAGGACGAACGCUGGCGGCGUGCCUAACACAUGCAAGUCGAACGGACCGAAGGAAAUAGUUUACUAUUUACUUCGG
rnacentral:rRNA from 1 species